AGUCGAACGGACUUAACCAUUAGUUUACUAUUGGAGCGGUUAGUGGCGGACUGGUGAGUAACACGUAAGCAACCUGCCUAUCAGAGGGGAACAACAGUUAGAAAUGACUGCUAAUACCGCAUAUACCCAAGUGUCACAUGGCACAAUGGGGAAAGGAGCAAUCCGCUGAUAGAUGGGCUUGCGUCUGAUUAGCUAGUUGGUGGGGUAACGGCCUACCAAGGCGACGAUCAGUAGCCGGACUGAGAGGUUGAACGGCCACAUUGGGACUGAGAUACGGCCCAGACUCCUACGGGAGGCAGCAGUCGGGAAUAUUGCGCAAUGGAGGAAACUCUGACGCAGUGACGCCGCGUGCAGGAAGAAGGUUUUCGGAUUGUAAACUGCUUUAGACAGGGAAGAAACAAGACAGUACCUGUAGAAUAAGCUCCGGCUAACUACGUGCCAGCAGCCGCGGUAAUACGUAGGGAGCGAGCGUUAUCCGGAUUUAUUGGGUGUAAAGGGUGCGUAGACGGGAAAAUAAGUUAGUUGUGAAAGCCCUCGGCUUAACUGAGGAACUGCAACUAAAACUGUUUUUCUUGAGUACUGGAGAGGAAAGUGGAAUUCCUAGUGUAGCGGUGAAAUGCGUAGAUAUUAGGAGGAACACCAGUGGCGAAGGCGACUUUCUGGACAGAAACUGACGUUGAGGCACGAAAGUGUGGGGAGCAAACAGGAUUAGAUACCCUGGUAGUCCACACCGUAAACGAUGGAUACUAGGUGUAGGGGAUAAUAAAUUCUCUGUGCCGCCGCUAACGCAAUAAGUAUCCCACCUGGGGAGUACGGCCGCAAGGUUGAAACUC
rnacentral:rRNA from 1 species